GUUUGAUGCUGCAAAAUUAAGAAAGCUAAGACCUAGUUUCAAGUAGAACGAGGGCUCUGUUACUACUGGCAAUGCUUCAAUCAUAAGUGAUGGUGCAACUGCAUUAGUCCUAGUGAGUGGAGAGAAGGCACUUCAACGUGGAUUGCAAGUAAUUGCAAAGAUUAAUGGCUAUGCUGAUGCAGCUCAGGUACUCCAAUGAAUUGGCUUCCUAGUUCUAUUUUACUGUUGCUGAAACAUAGCUCAAAGAAGAUUAUCUUCGCAGGCACUUGAAUUCUUUACAACUGCUCCAGCCCUUGUGAUACCAAAAGCUAUUUCAAAUGCUGGUUUAGAUGCUUCUCAGAUUGAUUACUAUGAAAUAAAUGAAGCGUUUUCUGUUGUAGCUCUAGCCAAUCAAAAGCUGCUUGGUCUUAAUCCUG